ACACAGACACGGGGACAUGAGGACACGGACAAGGGAGAGCACAGUGUCUACACAGACUUCUGACCUCCAGCCUGGGGGCCACCGCCUGGCCCUCCAGCCUUCCCAUGGGUGGCUGAGACCCAUCAGUGGAGCAGGAGACACGGCACGGGGGCUCUGGAGACCUGGCUUCAGACCUUGCAUGACCUUGAUCAAGUCACUUCUCUCUGAACUUCAAUUUUUCCUGCUUUUGUUCUUGAGAUGUAAAAAAAAAAACAAAAAAACAAAAA